AACGAACGCUGGCGGCAUGCCUAACACAUGCAAGUCGAACGAUGCCUUCGGGCAUAGUGGCGCACGGGUGCGUAACGCGUGGGAAUCUGCCUUUCGGUUCGGAAUAACUCAGGGAAACUUGAGCUAAUACCGGAUAACGUCGCAAGACCAAAGAUUUAUCACCGAAAGAUGAGCCCGCGUAGGAUUAGCUAGUUGGUGAGGUAAAGGCUCACCAAGGCGACGAUCCUUAGCUGGUCUGAGAGGAUGAUCAGCCACACUGGGACUGAGACACGGCCCAGACUCCUACGGGAGGCAGCAGUGGGGAAUAUUGGACAAUGGGCGCAAGCCUGAUCCAGCAAUGCCGCGUGAGGGAUGAAGGCCUUAGGGUUGUAAAGCUCUUUUACCCGGGAAGAUAAUGACGGUACCGGGAGAAUAAGCCCCGGCUAACUCCGUG
rnacentral:rRNA from 1 species